rnacentral:rRNA from 1 species
AUGAGUUUGAUCCUGGCUCAGAAGGAACGCUAGCUAUAUGCUUAACACAUGCAAGUCGAACGUUGUUUUCGGGGAGCUGGGCAGAAGGAAAAGAGGCUCCUAGCGUGAAGGUUGCUUGUCUCGCCCAGGAGGUGGGAACAGUUGAAAACAAAGUGGCGAACGGGUGCGUAAUGCGUGGGAAUCUGCCGAACAGUUCGGGCCAAAUCCUGAAGAAAGCUAAAAAGCGCUGUUUGAUGAGCCUGCGUAGUAUUAGGUAGUUGGUCAGGCUAAAGGCUGACCAAGCCAAUG